rnacentral:misc_RNA from 1 species
UAGAAUGUUUAUUUUCGCGCUCGCACGCGAUCAAUAAUACAACUUUCAACAACGGAUCUCUUGGCUCUCGCAUCGAUGAAGAACGCAGCGAAAUGCGAUACGUAAUGUGAAUUGCAGAAUUCAGUGAAUCAUCGAAUCUUUGAACGCACCUUGCGCCCCUUGGCAUUCCGAGGGGCACACCCGUUUGAGUGUCGUGAAAUCUUCAAAAUCCCUCUCUUUUGAGGAUUUUUGGACUUGGAGGUUCAAUGCUCGCUUUUGCCUUUUAGAAAAGCGAGCUCCUCUCAAAUGAAUCAGUGGGGUCUGCUUUGCCGGUCCUUGACGUGAUAAGAUCUUUCUACGUUUUGGAU